rnacentral:tRNA from 1 species
GCCGAGGUGGCGGAAUUGGUAGACGCGCAUGCCUUAGGAGCAUGUGCCCUUUGCGGCGUGGAGGUUCAAGUCCUCUCCUCGGUACCA